GUGGGGAAUAUUGGACAAUGGGCGCAAGCCUGAUCCAGCAAUGCCGCGUGGGUGAAGAAGGCCUUCGGGUUGUAAAGCCCUUUUGUACGGGAAGAAAUCAUACGGGUUAAUACCCUGGGUGGAUGACGGUACCGUAAGAAUAAGCACCGGCUAACUUCGUGCCAGCAGCCGCGGUAAUACGAAGGGUGCAAGCGUUAAUCGGAAUUACUGGGCGUAAAGCGUGCGUAGGUGGUUGUUCAAGUCUGUCGUGAAAGCCCUGGGAUCAACCUGGGAAUGGCGAUGGAAACUGGGCGACUAGAGUGCGGUAGAGGAUGGCGGAAUUCCCGGUGUAGCGGUGAAAUGCGUAGAGAUCGGGAGGAACAUCCGUGGCGAAGGCGGCCAUCUGGACCAGCACUGACACUGAGGCACGAAAGCGUGGGGAGCAAACAGGAUUAGAAACCCGAGUAGUCC
rnacentral:rRNA from 1 species